rnacentral:tRNA from 1 species
GGUGGCUCAGUGGUAGAGUGCUUGCCUCACAAACAUGAUGCCCUGGGUUCGAUUCCUCAGCACCA